UGAAUUUAGAAGACCAGAAAAGGUUGAAAAUAAGCCUUGUUCUAUUGAAGUAUCUUCUCUAGGUUCUAGUCGGACUGGUGAUCCGGGUUGGAAGUAUGGUUAAAUAUAAUUAUUGUGGAAAGGAUACUAAUGGGGGAAUUUACCGGUUUAAAAAACACCUUGCCGUUAUUAAGGGGGAUGUUACCCCAUGUAAAAAUGUUCCUGAGGCUACCAAGGAGGAAAGUAUACAAUACUUGAGUUCAGAGAAGUACAAAGAAAAUGGUAGAGCAGCCAAGACUCCUAAGACCUCAUCUGCACAGACUGCAUAUACUAGUAAGAGGAAGGUAGAAGAAGAUGAGGAGGAAAAGGCAGAUUCAGAAGAAACAGAGGAAGACGAGCGUUGAAAAGGGCGAUGACUCUGAUGAUGAUGGCCUCGACUCUAAUGCAUAUGAUGAGGCUUGCCCUAUUAAUAUUCCUUCUAAUGAUGAUGAUGACGACGACUAAAGACUCACUAGUAAGAGGAAGGUAGAAGAAGAUGAAGAGGAAAAGGCUGAUUCAGAAGAAACAGAGGAAGACAAGCGUUGAAGAGAGAGAUGACUCUGAUGAUGAUGGCCUCGACUCUAAUGCAUAUGAUGAGGCUCGCCCUAUUAAUAUUCCUUCUGAUGAUGAUGAUGACGACUGAAGACUCUUGC
rnacentral:lncRNA from 1 species